AGUCGUAACAAGGUUACCGUAGGUGAACCUGCGGUAGGAUCAUUAACAAAUCCAAGAUGGGAGUCGGUACUUUCACGGUACUUGGCGCCUAUGCGUGCCGGCUGCGAUGCGCUGUGGCGUUCGCGGCCGUGUAUGUUCGUGCUUAGCACAAGUAUGUAUGUUGGACAGAUGUGACGUAAGUUAUAUGUGUGGGAACGCGUAAGCAAACAACAACUUUUAACAAUGGAUCUCUAGGCUCUU
rnacentral:misc_RNA from 1 species